rnacentral:rRNA from 1 species
UACGGAGGGUGCAAGCGUUAUCCGGAUUCACUGGGUUUAAAGGGUGCGUAGGAGGGCAGGUAAGUCAGUGGUGAAAUCUCCAAGCUUAACUUGGAAACUGCCGUCGAUACUAUCUGUCUUGAAUACCGUGGAGGUGAGCGGAAUAUGUCAUGUAGCGGUGAAAUGCUUAGAUAUGACAUAGAACACCAAUUGCGAAGGCAGCUCGCUACACGAAUAUUGACUCUGAGGCACGAAAGCGUGGGGAUCAAACAGG